rnacentral:lncRNA from 1 species
GAACUUCUUGAAUGUCACUGCUUGUCCAUUGUCUGGUGUCUCAUCUCUCCAAAUUCAAAGCCACUGUGGCCUUACUGACUGUGUGGGGCGUUCAGGGAGGACUCAAGGGCUCUCAUCCUGACUCUGCUCACACUGAUUUUGCUGGCAAAGAGCUGUGAGACCUCCCAGGGAGUAGGCAGUUUUGCUUUCUAUCCAUCAGUCCUCCAACUUGCAACCCCAUGGCCCU